rnacentral:ncRNA from 1 species
UUAAAGAUACUUCUCUACGGAGCUGGCGGAAACCCGGCAGAGGUUAGAUUCCUAUGG